GGGCCCGCACAAGCGGAGGAACAUGUGGUUUAAUUCGAUGAUACGCGAGGAACCUUACCCGGGCUUGAAAGUUAGCGACCGUGGUGGAAACACCACUUCCCUUCGGGGCGCGAAACUAGGUGCUGCAUGGUUGUCGUCAGCUCGUGCCGUGAGGUGUCGGGUUAAGUCCCAUAACGAGCGCAACCCCUACUGUUAGUUGCCAGCGGAUAAUGCCGGGAACUCUGACAGGACUGCCGGUGUAAGCCGAGAGGAAGGUGGGGAUGACGUCAAAUCAGCACGGCCCUUACGUCCGGGGCGACACACGUGUUACAAUGGCCGGUACAGAGGGCUGCUACCCAGCGAUGGGGAUGCUAAUCUCUAAAGCCGGUCUCAGUUCGGAUCGGAGGCUGAAACUCGCCUCCGUGAAGUUGGAUUCGCUAGUAAUCGCGCAUCAGCCAUGGCG
rnacentral:rRNA from 1 species